AUUGAACGCUGGCGGCAGGCCUAACACAUGCAAGUCGAGCGGAUGAAGGGAGCUUGCUCCUGGUUUCAGCGGCGGACGGGUGAGUAAUGCCUAGGAAUCUGCCUGGCAGUGGGGGAUAACGUCCGCAAACGGGCGCUAAUACCGCAUACGUCCUGAGGGUGAAAGUGGGGGAUCUUCGGACCUCACGCUAUCUUAUGAGCAUAGGUCGGAUUAGUUGGCUGGUGGGGUAAAGACCUACCAAGGCGACGAUCCGUAACUGGACUGAGAGGAUGAUAAGUCACACUAGAACAUGAACAGGGACAAGAGUCCUGCGAGACGGAGCAGAGGGGAAAAUUGGGCAAUAGGGGAGAGCCUGAUCCAGCGGUGGGACGUGUGAGGCGAAGAUCUUCGGAUUGUGAAGCCCUUUAACUUGGGGGAAAGAGCAGUAGGUUGAUACGUUGCUGUUUUGACGUUAACGGCAGAAUAAGCACCGGCUAACUUCGUG
rnacentral:rRNA from 1 species